AAUGGUUGCACCUAUGGAAAACAAUGGGUGAAAAUGUCUCACCAGGGUGACAAUUAGAGCAUUAGCAAGUGCAACGGACAUGAACCAGGACCGAUUCUACUCCUGAAAAAGAAAUAUUGCUAUGUCCAUGCUGAGCAUUAACCAGUCCGCAUCAGCUUCCACAGAGAAUGAGUCUGAUACCAAUGCAUUCACUAAGGAAGUCAAUUUUUUUUAAUAAAGUGGACAAUUUAUAUAAAACAAAUCAACAAACACUGCUCCUUACGUGCAGAUGGUUUAGUUGUUAACAAUAAACUGAUAACUUGGUUUGAUAAUACUUGUUUAGUAAGGAGAGGUCCUAUUCAUGUGUCCAGGGACUUUCAUCCAUGGAGCACACCUCACACCUAGGAAGUCUCAGAGUUGACCCUGGUAUUUUUGCACACGCACACACGUGGACACACACCUCCACACACCAACACCCUCAUGGAAGUUCACCACAUACAGACGUACCUGAGGAGGUGAACGGCACUAGGAGAGCUUUCUUUUGCCUCUUCUUUUUCAGAAAUGGAGCCUGAGCUAAGAAAGAGGAGAUGGGAAAUGUUCUGGUUACAAAUGCUCAAGAAAAAAGAACGGAGAAUAAGUGGGAGGACAUAUUCGGACUACGAGGAUUCAGUUAUGAAUCGAAAACCACAAGUCUCUGUUUUUCCCCUCCGUGUGAAAGAAUAGGAAUCACUGUAAAAGAGAUCCAGAACAGGAAGACAGAGUGGGAAAACUGGACAGACGUGCACGGGGAUGAACUCUAAGCAAAACAAAAAUACUUCUGAGCUCAGUGGAAAAUCCUAGACAUUGCAUCUCAGGGAUACAUAUUGUGCACAUCCAUCUUAAGACAGCAGAACGCAAGCUUCAUCCUCACCUUCCUUGGCCAAAUCUCUAGGAACGAGAUAACAUUCAAGUAACAAGGAAAUGCCCCACAGACUCGAGCUCUCUCCCUGACCCAGAAGCUAUGACUAAUUCCCCAAAAUCAGACAACACGUAACACUGCAGAGGUAACCCUCACCCGGGACACAGAAGGGAAGUGACUGCCGUGGCUGACGCCUCAAGCAGGCUGAAGCUUAGCAAGAGCGCGGGGUGAGGAGGCCACAGCUUUCUUGCUUGCUUUUUAAAAAAUAUUUCAUUUAUUUAUUUAUGAAAGACACAGACUGAGAGGCAGAGACACAGGCAGAGGGAGAAGCAGGCUCCAUGCAGGGAGCCCAAUGUGGGACUCGAACCCAGGACCCAGGGUCACAACCUGGGCCCAAGGAAGCCGCUCAACCUCUGAGCCCCUGGGGGGCCCCAGGCCACAGCUCUCUAAAGCCUCCUACCUCGUACCACUGGCGUGACAUGUGCGAGGUAGAGGGUAAGUGAGUGGUGGGUCCUUUGCCUCAGCAGAUCCUCAAAGCCAAACGAGCCAAUGCAAAAAUUCUUUAUAAGCAGGUGUGAUACAAUGUUCACCCCAAGGGGCUGUGUUUAAGAGGAGAUUCGGAAACAUUUGAAGUGUAGAAGAGAUGCAAGUCCAACCCAGGGAUCACAAGGCAGAGAUUUAAAAAACUGACAGCACAUGCCUCCAUCAUGAAAAAAAAAAACAAAUAAAAAAAUCUGAUUCAUAGCA
rnacentral:lncRNA from 1 species